CCCCUCUCAGGGUUGCACCUGGAGAGUUUCCAGUACUCUGCUAGUCUCGACUACGGGAGGGAGAAUCAAGCAAAGGCCUAUCCAUUCCAUUCCUAGCUUGGCCAGUGGCUUGCUAGUGGAAGGCAAUCUGCUACAAGU